rnacentral:rRNA from 1 species
GACGAACGCUGGCGGCGUGCUUAACACAUGCAAGUCGAACGGAAAGGCCCUGCUUUUGUGGGGUGCUCGAGUGGCGAACGGGUGAGUAACACGUGAGUAACCUGCCCUUGACUUUGGGAUAACUUCAGGAAACUGGGGCUAAUACCGGAUAGGAGCUCCUGCUGCAUGGUGGGGGUUGGAAAGUUUCGGCGGUUGGGGAUGGACUCGCGGCUUAUCAGCUUGUUGGUGGGGUAGUGGCUUACCAAGGCUUUGACGGGUAGCCGGCCUGAGAGGGUGACCGGCCACAUUGGGCCUGAGAUACGGCCCAGACUCCUACGGGGGGCAGCAGUGGGGAAUAUUGCACAAUGGGCGGAAGCCUGAUGAAGCAACGCCGCGUGCGGGAUGACGGCCUUCGGGUUGUAAACCGCUUUCGCCUGUGACGAAGCGUGAGUGACGGUAAUGGGUAAAGAAGCACCGGCUAACUACGUG